rnacentral:rRNA from 1 species
GCUGAAGCAACAAAUGCCCUGCUUCCAGGAAAAGCCUCUAAGCAUCAGGUAACAUCAAAUCGUACCCCAAACCGACACAGGUGGUCAGGUAGAGAAUACCAAGGCGCUUGAGAGAACUCGGGUGAAGGAACUAGGCAAAAUGGUGCCGUAACUUCGGGAGAAGGCACGCUGAUAUGUAGGUGAAGUCCCUCGCGGAUGGAGCUGAAAUCAGUCGAAGAUACCAGCUGGCUGCAACUGUUUAUUAAAAACACAGCACUGUGCAAACACGAAAGUGGACGUAUACGGUGUGACGCCUGCCCGGUGCCGGAAGGUUAAUUGAUGGGGUUAGCGCAAGCGAAGCUCUUGAUCGAAGCCCCGGUAAACGGCGGCCGUAACUAUAACGGUCCUAAGGUAGCGAAAUUCCUUGUCGGGUAAGUUCCGACCUGCACGAAUGGCGUAAUGAUGGCCAGGCUGUCUCCACCCGAGACUCAGUGAAAUUGAACUCGCUGUGAAGAUGCAGUGUACCCGCGGCAAGACGGAAAGACCCCGUGAACCUUUACUAUAGCUUGACACUGAACAUUGAGCCUUGAUGUGUAGGAUAGGUGGGAGGCUUUGAAGUGUGGACGCCAGUCUGCAUGGAGCCGACCUUGAAAUACCACCCUUUAAUGUUUGAUGUUCUAACGUUGACCCGUAAUCCGGGUUGCGGACAGUGUCUGGUGGGUAGUUUGACUGGGGCGGUCUCCUCCUAAAGAGUAACGGAGGAGCACGAAGGUUGGCUAAUCCUGGUCGGACAUCAGGAGGUUAGUGCAAUGGCAUAAGCCAGCUUGACUGCGAGCGUGACGGCGCGAGCAGGUGCGAAAGCAGGUCAUAGUGAUCCGGUGGUUCUGAAUGGAAGGGCCAUCGCUCAACGGAUAAAAGGUACUCCGGGGAUAACAGGCUGAUACCGCCCAAGAGUUCAUAUCGACGGCGGUGUUUGGCACCUCGAUGUCGGCUCAUCACAUCCUGGGGCUGAAGUAGGUCCCAAGGGUAUGGCUGUUCGCCAUUUAAAGUGGUACGCGAGCUGGGUUUAGAACGUCGUGAGACAGUUCGGUCCCUAUCUGCCGUGGGCGCUGGAGAACUGAGGGGGGCUGCUCCUAGUACGAGAGGACCGGAGUGGACGCAUCACUGGUGUUCGGGUUGUCAUGCCAAUGGCACUGCCCGGUAGCUAAAUGCGGAAGAGAUAAGUGCUGAAAGCAUCUAAGCACGAAACUUG